rnacentral:rRNA from 1 species
AGAGUUGAUCCUGGCUCAGGAUGAACGCUAGCUACAGGCUUAACACAUGCAAGUCGAGGGGCAGCAUGAUCGAAGCUUGCUUUGAUUGAUGGCGACCGGCGCACGGGUGAGUAACGCGUAUCCAACCUUCCCUAUAGUAGAGAAUAGCCCGGCGAAAGUCGGAUUAAUGCUCUAUGUUGUAUUUAGAGGACAUCUGAAGAAUACCAAAGGUUUACCGCUAUAGGAUGGGGAUGCGUCUGAUUAGGUAGUAAGCGGGGUAACGGCCCACCUAGCCGACGAUCAGUAGGGGUUCUGAGAGGAAGGUCCCCCACAUUGGAACUGAGACACGGUCCAAACUCCUACGGGAGGCAGCAGUGAGGAAUAUUGGUCAAUGGACGGAAGUCUGAACCAGCCAAGUUAAGCGUGCAGGAUGACGGCCCUAUGGGUUGUAAACUGCUUUUAUAUAGGGAUAAAGUCGGGGACGUGUCCCCGUUUGUAGGUACUAUAUGAAUAAGGACCGGCUAAUUCCGUGCCAGCCGCUGC